rnacentral:siRNA from 1 species
AUGACCUGGUGAACCGGUUGA